rnacentral:rRNA from 1 species
ACGAACGCUGGCGGCGUGCCUAAUACAUGCAAGUCGAACGGCGUUUUCUAUGGAAGCUUGCUUCCACUGAAAAGAGUAGUGGCGAACGGGUGAGUAACACGUGGGUAACCUGCCCAUAAGAGGGGGAUUAACAUCCGGAAACGGGUGCUAAUACCGCAUAGUUUUCUUGAUUGCAGUGAUUGAGAAGGAAAGACGGCCUUUGUGCUGUCGCUUAUGGAUGGACCCGCGGCGUAUUAGUUAGUUGGUGAGGUAACGGCUCACCAAGACGAUGAUACGUAGCCGACCUGAGAGGUGAUCGGCCACAUUGGGACUGAGACACGGCCCAAACUCCUACGGGAGGCAGCAGUAGGGAAUCUUCCGCAAUGGACGAAAGUCUGACGGAGCAACGCCGCGUGAGUGGAAAACGAAGGUUUUUCGGAUCGUAAAACUCUGUUGUCAGAGAAGAACAAGUUGGAGAGUAACUGCUCCAGCCUUGACGGUAUCUGACCAGAAAGCCACGGCUAACUACGUGCCAGCCGCCGC